AAUUUAUGCUGCUGCAAUAUCAAAAAUAUUAUGAUCCAAUCAAGACUGUUGUACUUGCAUUAAUAGUUGCAAAUAUUAUAUUAAGUACAUCUCUUGUUGGCAGUCCGCAAUAAGAUAAUUUGUUGAAUCAUUAAUUAAUUUACUUUUUUCUCAGUUGAGGCAAAGAGCAAAAGAAGACAAAACAAGGCCUAAUUUUACACAUUUUUAUCAAAUAAUCGAUGUACACUAGCAUCUACAUGCCUAUCAAAGUAUUACUUUUAAUUAAUAUUCAAUUAUUAAUUAAUUUUAAUUUUAUUAUAAAAUUCUAACGGUAAGAACAAACUUGGAAUUCAACUUUUAAAAAAUUUGAUAUUAAAUACAUCGACUUUAAAAAAAAAAUCGAUUAUAAAAUGAGCAACAAAAAAUCAUAUUUGUAGCAAAUGUCAGAAAAAACAAUUAUAAAGCAACAAAAUUUGUUGUAGAUAUCUCAUUAUGUCAUCUAAAUAACCAAAAUUUAAAAUAAAAAUCUAUUUCCAUUUAAAAAUGGAUAUUACUACUAACAUAAAUCUUUAUCGAAAUUACAAGAUAAUGUAAUGGAUUUUGUACAAGCUAGCGAUCAGACUAUUAGCAACAAAUUUUAACAACAUAAACCACGGAUGAAUCCAUUGCAGCAAAAUCAAUGAUACAAACUUAUAUAUAGAAGCUGAUACUUAACAAAAACGAAAUAAACAUUAAAAUU